UACACUCCUGCGGGAGGCAGCAGUGGGGAAUUUUGGACAAUGGGCGAAAGCCUGAUCCAGCAAUGCCGCGUGAGUGAAGAAGGCCUUCGGGUUGUAAAGCUCUUUUGUCAGGGAAGAAACGGUGAGAGCUAAUAUCUCUUGCUAAUGACGGUACCUGAAGAAUAAGCACCGGCUAACUACGUGCCAGCAGCCGCGGUAAUACGUAGGGUGCAAGCGUUAAUCGGAAUUACUGGGCGUAAAGCGUGCGCAGGCGGUUUUGUAAGUCUGAUGUGAAAUCCCCGGGCUCAACCUGGGAAUUGCAUUGGAGACUGCAAGGCUAGAAUCUGGUAGAGGGGGGUAGAAUUCCACGUGUAGCAGUGAAAUGCGUAGAUAUGUGGAGGAACACCGAUGGCGAAGGCAGCCCCCUGGGUCAAGAUUGACGCUCAUGCACGAAAGCGUGGGGAGCAAACAGGAUGAGAAACCCGAGUAGUCCCAUGAU
rnacentral:rRNA from 1 species